rnacentral:lncRNA from 1 species
UGCCAGGGUUCACCACUAUCUUAGGAAUAUCAUGAAUAAAGCGUUAGAUUGGGUGUGCCCUAACUGAUGGUCACAAGCAUGAUACUAAUUAUCAGGGUGAACAAAGCAGGGGAGUAAGAGCAUCAGUAACUGUGAAACUCUAGGAGUUUGUCUUCAUUCUUUCAGUGAUAGAAUAUCUAGCAUUUGUAUUUCGUACAUCAUACACUUGAGUUAGUAUCUGUGGAAAGGAUAAAUACAUAAGGAAAAGAGAUGCAGGAAGCUGCAGAGACACUGGCCAUUUAUCUGAGAAGUGCCCAAUGAGGCAUCACCGGAUAAGCACACGUCGGGUCGUUCUCCUGCUUCAGUAAGGUCUGUGGCGUUGACAUUAUCAAUGCUAUGGAUGCCUCAAGGCUCUCAUAAAAAUACAUGGCUUCAGCAAUACGCAUGCAGUUAUCUCAGUUUAAAGGAAAUGGGUUCUGCUCCCUGCUUAAUAAGAAAUCCUGCUUACUUCUCCAGCUUUUGAAGCACAGAUUAUUUUUCUUCUCUUCAUCAUAUAAAAAUGGAAAUUAUCAAAACAAAACAUCAUCAAAACAAAACAUCAUCAAAAACAGGUUGCUCUCUGAGUAAAGGUUUUAUGUUUGUUUGGGAUAGAAUCUCAUUCUGUCACCCAGGCCAGAGAGCACUGACAUUAUCAUGGCUCACUGCAACCUCAAACUCCCAAGCUCAAGCGAUCCUCCCACCUCAGCCUCCCAAGUAGCUGGGACCACAG